CAGGUGUCGAAAGACUUAAUAAGGAAUUCGGUAUAAGCCGAAGCGGUCCCGCCACUGUAAGAGGAGCCCCGUCAUCGUAUGCCACUGGAAGAGAUUCUGGGAAGGCUUGACAGGGUGAGGAAUCUGAGCCAGGAGAAUUGCCUGCUUUA
rnacentral:ncRNA from 1 species